UUGCGGUUAAAAGCUCGCUAGUUGGAUUUCUGUUGAGGUCGGGCGGUGUACACCUCGUGUAUUAUUUGCUUCGGUCUCGGCAUCCUCUUGGGGAACGUACGGACCUUCAUUGGACUGUGCGAGAUUCAAGACUUUUACUUUGAGGAAAUUAGAGUGUUCACGGCAGGCAAGUGCUUUGAAUACAUUAGCAUGGAAUAAUAAUAUAGGACCUUCGUUCUAUUUUGUUGGUUUCUAGAACUUAGGUAAUGAUUAAUAGGGACAAUUGGGGGCAUUCGUAUUAACGCGUCAGAGGUGGAAUUCUUGGAUUGCGUUACGACGAACUACUGCGAAAGCAUUUGCCAAAGAUGUUUUCAUUGAUCAAGAACGAAGUAUGGGGAUCGAAGACGCUUAGAUACCGUCCGUAGUCUAUACCCAUAAACUAUGCCCACUA
rnacentral:rRNA from 1 species